rnacentral:rRNA from 1 species
GACGAACGCUGGCGGCGUGCCUAAUACAUGCAAGUCGAGCGAAGUUUUUCUGGUGCUUGCACUAGAAAAACUUAGCGGCGAACGGGUGAGUAACACGUAAAGAACCUGCCUCAUAGACUGGGGCAACUAUUGGAAACGAUAGCUAAUACCGGAUAACAGUAUUUCUCGCAUGAGAGAUAUUUAAAAGUUGGUUAUGCUAACACUAUGAGAUGGCUUUGCGGUGCAUUAGCUAGUUGGUGGGGUAAAGGCCCACCAAGGCGACGAUGCAUAGCCGACCUGAGAGGGGGAUCGGCCACACUGGGACUGAGACACGGCCCAGACUCCUACGGGAGGCAGCAGUAGGGAAUCUUCCGCAAUGGGCGAAAGCCUGACGGAGCAACGCCGCGUGAGUGAAGAAGGAUUUCGGUUCGUAAAGCUCUGUUGUUAGGGAAGAAUGGAUAUGUAGUAACUAUACAUGUAAGAGACGGUACCUAACCAGAAAGCCACGGCUAACUACGUG